AGCCAUUAGACGAUAUUUAUGGUUUAACCUGCCCAAUGUUAGCAAUAAUGAAUGGCCGCGGUACCCUGACCGUGCUAAGGUAGCGUAAUCAGUUGGCUUUUAAAUGGAGUCAGGAAUGAAUGGGAAAACCGGGUUUAGCUGUCUCCUUACUAUUUUUUUGAAUUUACUGUUUAAGUGAAAAAGCUUAAAAUUGACAAAGGGACGAGAAGACCCUUAGAAUUUUUUUUAAAAUGACAAAUUCUCAUAAUAAUUUUGUUGGGGCGACAGAGAAAUAUUUAAAACUUUCUUUAAAUUUACAUGCCGAUAUUGUUAAGCAAGAAUAAAUUACCUGAGGGAUAACAGCAUUAUUCUACAGUUGAGUUUGUGACCUCGAUGUUGGACUAGGAAACUAACAGGCUAGCCGUUUGUUGUGUGGGUUCUGUUCGAACUCUAAUUCCU
rnacentral:rRNA from 1 species